CCUACGGGAGGCAGCAGUGAGGAAUAUUGGUCAAUGGGCGAGAGCCUGAACCAGCCAAGUAGCGUGAGGGAUGACUGCCCUACGGGUUGUAAACUUCUUUUAUAAAGGAAUAAUGUGCGGCACGUGUGCCUUUUUGUCUGUACUUUAUGAAUAAGGAUCGGCUAACUCCGUUCCAGCAGCCGCGGUAAUACGGAGGAUCCGAGCGUUAUCCGGAUUUAUUGGGUUUAAAGGGAGCGUAGAUGGGUUUUUAAGUCAGUUGUGAAAGUUUGCGGCUUAAACGUAAAAUUGCAAUUGAUACUGGAAGUCUUGAGAACAGUCGAGGUAGGCGGAAUAAGUGGAGUAGCGGUGAAAUGCUUAGAUAUCACGAAGAACUCCGAUUGCGAAGGCAGCUUACUAAACUGACACUGACAUUGAUGCUCGAGAGUGUGGGUAGCAAACAGGAUUAGAUACCCGUGUAGUC
rnacentral:rRNA from 1 species